GAACGCACCUUGCGCUCCUUGGUAUUCCGAGGAGCAUGCCUGUUUGAGUGUCAUUAAUAUAUAUCAACCUUCUCACUUGUUGAGAGGUUUGGAUGUGGGGGUUUGCUGGCCCUUUUUUAAAAAAAGGUUCAGCUCCUCUGAAAUGCAUUAGCAGAACAAACCUUGUUCAUUGGCGUGAUAACAGUCUGAUCGUUGAGGACAUCUUUUGGGAUGGCCGGUCUUCAUUUGGGUUGCUUCUAAACCUGGUUUUUGCAGAUUGUUUCAAUCUGUAUUCCACUUUUCAGCUUUGACCUCGAAUCAGGUGGGACUACCCGCUGAACUUAAG
rnacentral:misc_RNA from 1 species